GACGAACGCUGGCGGCGUGCCUAAUACAUGCAAGUUGAGCGCUGAAGGUUGGUACUUGUACCGACUGGAUGAGCAGCGAACGGGUGAGUAACGCGUGGGGAAUCUGCCUUUGAGCGGGGGACAACAUUUGGAAACGAAUGCUAAUACCGCAUAAAAACUUUAAACACAAGUUUUAAGUUUGAAAGAUGCAAAUGCAUCACUCAAAGAUGAUCCCGGGUUGUAUUAGCUAGUUGGUGAGGUAUAGGCUCACCAAGGCGAUGAUACAUAGCCGACCUGAGAGGGUGAUCGGCCACAUUGGGACUGAGACACGGCCCAAACUCCUACGGGAGGCAGCAGUAGGGAAUCUUCGGCAAUGGACGAAAGUCUGACCGAGCAACGCCGCGUGAGUGAAGAAGGUUUUCGGAUCGUAAAACUCUGUUGGUAGAGAAGAACGUUGGUGAGAGUGGAAAGCUCAUCAAGUGACGGUAACUACCCAGAAAGGGACGGCUAACUACGUGCCAGCCGCCGCAGUAA
rnacentral:rRNA from 1 species